rnacentral:tRNA from 1 species
GGAGAGAUGGCCGAGUGGUCGAAGGCGCACGAUUGGAAAUCGUGUAUACGGUGUCGAGCCGUAUCUAGGGUUCAAAUCCCUAUCUCUCCGCCA